UAGUGACUUUUGUCUCUCACUUUGUUUAUUUCCAACACCUAGACAGAUUACCAUCAAAGCACUAUUUCUUCAUCACUCUUCUUCUCUCCCCGAAAAGACAAGUACCUUAAUCUUCAUCCACAACCAACCUCUGUGUCCGACUCAAAUGAAAAUCGGGCUUCCAAUCGAAGCGCCCAGUGGAUUUCACCAUCUCUCCACUGAAACCUGCAUCCCUGAUCCCUAAUCAUCAACCCCUCAACUCUUGACCCCAAAAUUUCGUCAACCAUCAAAACCCUAACUCGCUCUCUCCAACUUAUUACCCAUGCGGGGUCCCCAUCGCUCUGAGCGCAAGGUCAGUGAAGCAGCAAAAACAAAAUUGAAGCUCUAGAGGUGGAGAAGGACUCCCUCAUCAAAUCGAACAAGGCCACCUAGCAGACCAUGUGAGAGUGUGGGACUGGAAGCAACAGAUCUACGCUGAAGCUAACACUGACUCUGCUUUCAUCCCUUUCGCCAGACUCAAAGCCAUCUACAGCGAAGCCCUACUUCCCCAAUCGCAAUGAAAGAGGAUUCCAAAUCUACCGAAGCUAAAUUUAUGGCCUCCAUUCUCUUGAAGAAGCAAAAGCAGAAGCAGAAAACCACCAAGCUCGGAAGCUCCAGAACCCACAUCAACAACCUCCCCAAGCUCCUCUCCUACGUCACCCUAACCUCACCGCCUUAGUACGUCGUCGAAUCUCUCCUCUCCAUCCAAGCCUUCUUCACUCCCGUCUUGCCUGACCUCCCUUCCUCUUCUUCCAAGCCCAAUCACUCCCAGGACGACAACCCCGAGUUCAUAUACAGCACUUGGCUCUGGUCCAAGUUUGACGACCUUGUCGAGUCCCUCAUCCAGCUCCUUCUUUUGCCGGAAUCCGAUGAAACUCUCAAGGAGGUGGUGUUGGAUACACUGAUGGAGUUUUUGAAGUUGGGAAACGGAAGAAGGUUUCACUCUGCUAUAUUCCUUAGGUUUCUUCGUAACAUUGUGUAAUCUACAACAUUGCCGAAUUUCUUGGUAGACUUGCUUACAUCAAAGUAUUUCAAGUAUAUUGAUGUCCGAUAAAGUCAGCUUGUUGUUAGGACUGAUAAUUGAUAAAUCUGAAAUCAGAUUGCUUCAUUGAGUUCUUUGACAGGUAUUGAAAAUGUAAUUCAUAGAUUUUUUUGGCUAUGGGGGGUUUUUGGGUGGCCAACCGCCGCAGGAGCAUCAUCCUCUGGGUGGACCGGGGCUGUCAUCUGUGGGAAAUCAGGGACCGGGGAGUGGUGCUUAAAAUUACGAGAAUAUGCUCUCGUUUGAAGAUUGUAUUAGCUGUGCUUUUAUCGCCACUUCCUCUGUUCAUCUGCACCUUUUAAGAUGUAGUACUCUCUCACCCUUUGCCAGACUCAAAGCCAUCUACAGCGAAGCCCCACUUCCCCAAUCGCUACCCCCUCAUCGAAUUGGAUUUGUGAAUUUUUUUUGGUUUCAACAACAACCAUAUAUGUUUAUGUUGAUCAUUGUCUCAGACUCAGGGUUACUACUGCUGCUAGAAUAACGUCAUAAAAUGCACUAUGUGUCUGCUUCAAAUCAUUUUGCUUGAUAUUCUUUCCUCGUGAUUUCAAGUUCAUGCCUUAUUGAAGGAGCUGGCUCAGAAGUCUUUCAAUGCGACCUCGGAAUUAAAGCAGUAUACCACUUUAAGAGUGGAAGUUGGGAAUGCAAGAUUUGAAUUGCUGGAUAGGAUGAAAGAAGAGAGCAAGGAAACAACUAUGCAGCUAGUUGAUAUGGAGUGUGGUUACCUCACCGUUGAAUUUUUCCACAAGCUUCCUCAGGAUAUUGAAAAGGGGGGAAAUCCGACACACUCACUUUUCGACAGAUAUAACGAUUCCUACCUCCGGCGGGUUGGCCAUUCCUCCUCAACCUAGCAACAAGGAGUGCGGGUACUUUAUCAUGUGCUACAUGAGAGAUAUCAUUGAGGAUAAAAACAUGUCAUUGUUUCCUUCCAAGUGGGAGAGGAGAGACAGCAGCUAAUACACCCAAGCGGAUAUUGAUCAAGUGCGAAAUGAAUAGGGAAAGUUUGUUGUCAACACGUAUGUGCAUGAGCCAUGAAGUAUGUCGUGAAGGCAUAUGUGUAGGAGCUAAAGGAAAGCAUAAGAGGAAGUAGGUUGUUGUUGAAGGAAAGCAUCAUUUUUGUGCUUCUUUGCUGGUACAAUAUUCAUGCACUGUGUGACAUGUUUUGUAACAAAUAGUUUGUAUUUGUAUCAGCUUUUGAUGUCCCAAGUAGAUGGGCAUGCAUUUGAAUGCUUUUCUUCUUUCAAUGUUGGCUUGGAUGAUUGGGAAAUCCUCCCUUUUAACGUUUGAAUGCUUUUCUUCAAAUAGUAUGAGUUGGAUUACUCAUUUCAUA